UUUCCGUAGGUGAACCUGCGGAAGGAUCAUUAACACUUAUCCACUUCCAAACAACCCGUUGAACUAUCUCGUUAUAUUGAUGUGCUAGGAGGUGCUAGGCUAUGUGGUGAGGAAAGGAGGCUGCGUCAGAGAAAUCUGAUUGUGUGCCGAUCCCGUCUUCAUCUCCUCUUGAUUUUCCUCUUCAUUGGAAAGAAAUUUCCUGAUUUGGGCUGUCAUAGCUGCAAUAUAAUGAUCACCACGAUAUUUUACCAAACCCCUAUGAACUCUGUACUAAUUUUGUAUCUUACUUGUAGAGUUGAGAGAAAUCUCCUCUCUUUUAAGAAACACUUUACGAAACAUUGAACAACUCUUAGCAACGGAUAUCUUGGUUCCC
rnacentral:misc_RNA from 1 species